rnacentral:rRNA from 1 species
UGGGCCUACGGGGGGCAGCAGUGGGGAAUAUUGCACAAUGGGGGAAACCCUGAUGCAGCGACGCCGCGUGAGUGAAGAAGUAUCUCGGUACGUAAAGCUCUAUCAGCAGGGAAGAAAAUGACGGUACCUGACCAAGAAGCCCCGGCUAACUACGUGCCAGCAGCCGCGGUAAUACGUAGGGGGCAAGCGUUAUCCGGAUUUACUGGGAGUAAAGGGAGCGCAGACGGCAAGGCAAGUCUGAUGUGAAAGUCCGAGGCUCAACCUCGGGACUGCAUUGGAAACUGUCUGGCUAGAGUGCAGGAGAG